rnacentral:tRNA from 2 species
UGCACGUGUAGUGUAGUGGUUAUCACGCGUUCUUCACACGGACGAGGUCCCGAGUUCGAUCCUCGGCAUGUGCAU